GGCGAAGCUCUCGAUUUACCAGUCAAUCUACGUUCCUACUCUCACCUAUGGUCAUGAGCUUUGAGUCAUGACCGAAAGGACAAGAUCCCGGAUACAGGCGACCGAAAUGAGCUUUCUCCGCUUGGUCACCCGGGAGGAGCUCAGAGUACAGCCGCUGCUCCUCCACAUCGAGAGGGGUCAGCUGAGGUGGCUUGGGCAUCUGUUUCGGAUGCCUCCGGAACGCCUUCCUGGGAAGGUGUUCCGGUCCUGUCCCACUGGGAGGAGACCCCGGGGAAGACCUAGGACACGCUGGAGGGACUAUGUCUCCCGGCUGGCCUGGGAACGGCUCGGAAGAGCUAGAGGAAGUGUCUGGGGAGAGGGAAGUCUGGGCAUCCCUGCUUAGACUGCUGCCCUCGCGACCCGGCCCCGGAUAAGCGGAAGAAGAUGGUAUGGUAUGGCACACAACAUCCUUGUACAAAACUACUGGGAUUGGAAUCUACAGCGUUCUGGUUACAAGUUACAGUUUUCUGCAAUACAUUCAAUAGAUUAACACCAAUGUUUAGGUGUAAGUUAAAUACAUUCACCUGGUUAAACUGUUUUGCACAGACAUGCAGUUCCAUUACUUUAUGUUUCCAGUAAAAACAUUUACAACCGUGAAUUCACUCAAUACAUUCCACUGCCCUCUCAUACCUUUUUCAGCAGCAAAGAAAACAUGUAAAAUGUCACUAUGAAGCAGUCCAAGAAAAUGGGCCGGUGAAAAAAUAAAUAGUUCACAGAUCACUACUGUACCUCAUAAAAAAUAUGACUGUCUUGAGAGUUGUAAUAUGAACAACUGUACAGUAUAUACGUGUUCUCAUUGUGUGUGUAUGCGCUGGUACGUGCGUCUGUUCACAGUCCCCGGGGCCAACUCUGAAGGUCUUAGCAUGGGCGGUAAAAAUGUGAAGCCAGCUUAAGGACAACGCCUUCACAAUUCAUUCAUCCCUGAAAAUGGGGUCGGCUCUUUUCUGAAAGCUAGUUCGUGACCACUGAUGCCUGUACAAACUUUGGAGGACAUGAGGUCUUGGCCCACACCUCCGGAGUACCUGAAUCGAAAGACUCGUUGCUGUCCCUAUGAAAAAGUAAUCCUGAUUGUGUUGCAGAUCAAGAUGAUACCUGAUGAUUCCAGCAGCCACUCCGCUGACAAUUCCCCCUGGGUUUGUCCCUGUUCUUGUCUGUCUGGUCCUGCUUCUGACCUGGAUUAGGUUUUAUAGACUCCGGACACAGCCCACAUUCAUUUAUUAAUUAUUGCAAUCUGUAAUCUUAAAAUGUUCACCCGGCAGAGCCAGAAGAGGAUGGCUCCCCCCUCCAAGCCUGGUUCCUCUCUAGGUUUCUUCCUAAAUAUUGGCUCCUUUUAGCAAGUUUUUCCUAGCCACUGUGCUUUAACGCCAAUGUUUCUUGCUCAUUGUGGUUUCAGGCUGGGUGUUUUCUAAAAGCACUUUGAUGUUUUUUUUUUUAAACUGCUGAUGUAAAAAGGGCUUUAUAAAUAAAUUUGAUUGAGUUAACCAUAAUUGCUCGCAGGUCAUUGCUGUAAAUUAAAAUGUGUUCUUAGUCAACUUAAAAUAAAUGUAAUAGCUAUUUCUCUAUUUGAGAAAUCACAAUGAAU
ensembl:lncRNA